rnacentral:misc_RNA from 1 species
GUGAAUCAUCGAAUCUUUGAACGCACAUUGCGCCCCUUGGUAUUCCGGGGGGCAUGCCUGUUCGAGCGUCAUUAUAACCCUCAAGCCUAGCUUGGUGUUGGAGCCUGUCUCUGGACAGCUCUUAAAAUCAGUGGCGGUGCCUUCUGGUCCUAAGCGUAGUAACUUUUCUCGCUAUAGAGUCUGGAGGCGUCCUGCCAGAACCCCUAAACUUCUAUGGUUGACCUCGGAUCAGGUAGGGAUACCCGCUGAACUUAAGCAUAUCAAUAAGCGGAGGA